AUGGCGUGUCGUCAGCUCGUGUCGUGAGAGUGUUGGGUUAAGUCCCGUAACGAGCGCAACCCUUGUCCUUAGUUACCAGCACGUUAUGGUGGGCACUCUAAGGAGACUGCCGGUGACAAACCGGAGGAAGGUGGGGAUGACGUCAAGUCAUCAUGGCCCUUACGGCCUGGGCUACACACGUGCUACAAUGGUCGGUACAAAGGGUUGCCAAGCCGCGAGGUGGAGCUAAUCCCAUAAAACCGAUCGUAGUCCGGAUCGCAGUCUGCAACUCGACUGCGUGAAGUCGGAAUCGCUAGUAAUCGUGAAUCAGAAUGUCACGGUGAAUACGUUCCCGGGCCUU
rnacentral:rRNA from 1 species